UACGGGGGGUGCAAGCGUUGUUCGGAUUUACUGGGCGUAAAGGGCGCGUAGGCGGUCAGUGCAAGUCAGUUGUGAAAUCUCCGGGCUUAACUCGGAAAGGUCAACUGAUACUGCUCGACUAGAGUGCGGAAGGGGCAACUGGAAUUCUUGGUGUAGCGGUGAAAUGCGUAGAUAUCAAGAGGAACACCUGCGGCGAAGGCGGGUUGCUGGGCCGACACUGACGCUGAUGCGCGAAAGCCAGGGGAGCGAACGGG
rnacentral:rRNA from 1 species